rnacentral:lncRNA from 1 species
AUAAAACUAUAUGUUAAUAAGUAAAUAAGAAGUAACAAAUUAGUGAACAUAAAAUUUAUUAAACAUAAAUGUAUGACUAUAGUUGUGGGAAUAAUGUCAUACGUUGAGCACAUCAAUCGAUAACUCAAUAAAAAUAUACUAUAGGACAAUAUAUUAUAAUAAAUUAGUUAACUCGAAAAUAACAAAUUAAAAAAAAUUUAAAAAUAAAUAUAAUUAUGAAAUAAUAUCUUACGUUGAGAACAUGGAUCAAUUACUCAAUAAAAUUAUACCAUAAUAAAUUUAAUGAACUCAAAAUUUAAAAUAUAACAUAUGAAGGAAUUACUAUAGUUUUGUAAAUAAAUUAAUAAAAAUAACAAAAAUAAAAAAUAAAACACAAAUGAAAAAGAAAAUGGAAAGGAAAAACAAAGCAAAAAGUGUGCUAUUGUACUAUAGUACACUAGUACGCCAUCCGUGCGAUGCACGACUAACAUAACAAUAACCGACAUAUUUAAAUAAAUAAGUAUAAAUAUUAAAUAAAAUCAAAAAUAUAAAUAAAUGCAAAUUAUGUUUUAAAAUAAAUAAAAUAAUUCAUAUAAUGAAAAUUAACAUUACACGUACAUUAUCAUCAUCAUCAUCAUCAUCAUCAUC